rnacentral:rRNA from 1 species
UACGAAGGGGGCUAGCGUUGUUCGGAAUUACUGGGCGUAAAGGGCGCGUAGGCGGCCCUCUUUGUCGCGUGUGAAAGCCCCGGGCUCAACCUGGGAACGGCGCGCGAAACGGGGGGGCUGGAGUUCGGGAGAGGAGCGUGGAAUUCCCAGUGUAGAGGUGGAAAUUCGUAGAUAUUGGGAAGAACACCGGUGGCGAAGGCGGCGCUCUGGACCGAGACUGACGCUGAGGCGCGGAAAGCGUGGGGAGCAAACAGG